GACGAACGCUGGCGGCGUGCUUAACACAUGCAAGUCGAACGGAAAGGCCCUGCUUUUGUUGGGUGCUCGAGUGGCGAACGGGUGAGUAACACGUGAGUAACCUGCCCUUGACUUUGGGAUAACUUCAGGAAACUGGGGCUAAUACCGGAUAGGAGCUCCUGCUGCAUGGUGUGGGUUGGAAAGUUUCGGCGGUUGGGGAUGGACUCGCGGCUUAUCAGCUUGUUGGUGGGGUAGUGGCUUACCAAGGCUUUGACGGGUAGCCGGCCUGAGAGGGUGACCGGCCACAUUGGGACUGAGAUACGGCCCAGACUCCUACGGGAGGCAGCAGUGGGGAAUAUUGCACAAUGGGCGGAAGCCUGAUGCAGCAACGCCGCGUGCGGGAUGACGGCCUUCGGGUUGUAAACCGCUUUCGCAUGUGACGAAGCGUGAGUGACGGUAAUGGGUAAAGAAGCACCGGCUAACUACGUG
rnacentral:rRNA from 1 species